GCCAUGCGAGUCAUGGGGCGCGCUCUGCGCGCACCGGCGGACGGCUCAGUAACACGUCGGUAACCUACCCUCGGGAGGGGGAUAACCCCGGGAAACUGGGGCUAAUCCCCCAUAGGCCUGGGGUACUGGAAGGUCCCCAGGCCGAAAGGGCGUAAGCCGCCCGAGGAUGGGCCGGCGGCCGAUUAGGUAGUUGGUGGGGUAACGGCCCACCAAGCCGAAGAUCGGUACGGGCCAUGAGAGUGGGAGCCCGGAGAUGGACACUGAGACACGGGUCCAGGCCCUACGGGGCGCAGCAGGCGCGAAACCUCCGCAAUGCGGGCAACCGCGACGGGGGGACCCCCAGUGCCGUGGCACAGCCACGGCUUUUCCGGAGUGUAAAAAGCUCCGGGAAUAAGGGCUGGGCAAGGCCGGUGGCAGCCGCCGCGGUAAUACCGGCGGCCCAAGUGGUGGCCGCUAUUAUUGGGCCUAAAGCGUCCGUAGCCGGGCCCGUAAGUCCCUGGCGAAAUCCCACGGCUCAACCGUGGGGCUUGCUGGGGAUACUGCGGGCCUUGGGACCGGGAGAGGCCGGGGGUACCCCUGGGGUAGGGGUGAAAUCCUGUAAUCCCAGGGGGACCGCCAGUGGCGAAGGCGCCCGGCUGGAACGGGUCCGACGGUGAGGGACGAAGGCCAGGGGAGCGAACCGGAUUAGAUACCCGGGUAGUCCUGGCUGUAAAGGAUGCGGGCUAGGUGUCGGGCGAGCUUCGAGCUCGCCCGGUGCCGAAGGGAAGCCGUUAAGCCCGCCGCCUGGGGAGUACGGCCGCAAGGCUGAAACUUAAAGGAAUUGGCGGGGGAGCACUACAAGGGGUGGAGCGUGCGGUUUAAUUGGAUUCAACGCCGGGAACCUCACCGGGGGCGACGGCAGGAUGAAGGCCAGGCUGAAGGUCUUGCCGGACGCGCCGAGAGGAGGUGCAUGGCCGCCGUCAGCUCGUACCGUGAGGCGUCCACUUAAGUGUGGUAACGAGCGAGACCCGCGCCCCCAGUUGCCAGUCCUCCCCGCUGGGGAGGAGGCACUCUGGGGGGACCGCCGGCGAUAAGCCGGAGGAAGGAGCGGGCGACGGUAGGUCAGUAUGCCCCGAAACCCCCGGGCUACACGCGCGCUACAAUGGGCGGGACAAUGGGAUCCGACCCCGAAAGGGGAAGGGAAUCCCCUAAACCCGCCCUCAGUUCGGAUCGCGGGCUGCAACUCGCCCGCGUGAAGCUGGAAUCCCUAGUACCCGCGUGUCAUCAUCGCGCGGCGAAUACGUCCCUGCUCCUUGCACACACCGCCCGUCACUCCACCCGAGCGGGGUCCGGGUGAGGCCUGGUCUCCCUUCGGGGAGGCCG
rnacentral:rRNA from 1 species